CUUUGCGGCUUUUCUUGGCUAAGACUGUUAAUAAUCAAUUUUAUAAUUAGUCAUAUAAUCAACGAGUCUGCUCUGCUUGUUUUUUGUUAAAAGUUUCUCGGAUUAUUAUAGUGAGUGGUGCUUUUUGUGUGUAUCCUUUUGGAUAAAGAAAGACAGCGGAAAGACACAGGGAGAGCGGCGUUGGAAGGGCAUGCAUUUUGGCUACAGAAUGACAGAGAGAUGGAAACCAAAAACAAGGCAUACGAAGGGCAGUUGAAAGUCUAACCAGGACAGAAAGGCAUGAAUUUCGGCUACAGAGGCAUGAAGUUCAAAACAAGAUAACAGAAUGACAG